rnacentral:rRNA from 1 species
UACGUAGGGUGCAAGCGUUGUCCGGAAUUAUUGGGCGUAAAGAGCUCGUAGGCGGUCUGUCGCGUCGGCUGUGAAAACUCGGGGCUCAACUCCGAGCUUGCAGUCGAUACGGGCAGGCUAGAGUGCGGCAGGGGAGACUGGAAUUCCUGGUGUAGCGGUGAAAUGCGCAGAUAUCAGGAGGAACAUCGGUGGCGAAGGCGGGUCUCUGGGCCGAUACUGACGCUGAGGAGCGAAAGCGUGGGGAGCAAACAGG